rnacentral:rRNA from 1 species
UACGUAGGGUGCGAGCGUUAAUCGGAAUUACUGGGCGUAAAGCGUGCGCAGGCGGUCUGUUAAGACCGAUGUGAAAUCCCCGGGCUUAACCUGGAACUGCAUUGGUGACUGGCAGGCUUUGAGUGUGGCAGAGGGAGGUAGAAUUCCACGUGUAGCAGUGAAAUGCGUAGAGAUGUGGAGGAAUACCGAUGGCGAAGGCAGCUCC